rnacentral:rRNA from 1 species
CAGUCGCCACGGUAAUACGGAGGGCGCGAGCGUUACCCGGAUUUACUGGGCGUAAAGGGCGUGUAGGCGGCCUGGGGCGUCCCAUGUGAAAGGCCACGGCUCAACCGUGGAGGAGCGUGGGAUACGCUCAGGCUAGAGGGUGGGAGAGGGUGGUGGAAUUCCCGGAGUAGCGGUGAAAUGCGCAGAUACCGGGAGGAACGCCGAUGGCGAAGGCAGCCACCUGGUCCACUUCUGACGCUGAGGCGCGAAAGCGUGGGGAGCAAACCGGAUUAGAUACCCCAGUAGUCCCUGUCUCUUAUAA